rnacentral:rRNA from 1 species
CGUUCCCGGGCCUUGUACACACCGCCCGUCACACCACGAAAGUUGGUAACACCCGAAGCCAGUGGCCCAACCCUUUGGGAGGGAGCUGUCGAAGGUGGGACCAGCGAUUGGGGUG